rnacentral:rRNA from 1 species
GACGAACGCUGGCUGCGUGCUUAACACAUGCAAGUCGAACGGAAAGGCCCCUUUGGGGGUACUCGAGUGGCGAACGGGCGAGUAACACGUGAGUAACCUGCCCUUGACUUCGGGAUAACUUCAGGAAACUGGGGCUAAUACCGGAUAGGAAUCCUUGCUGCAUGGUGGGGGUUGGAAAGCUUCGGGGGUUUUGGAUGGAGUUGCGGCUUAUCAGCUUGUUGGUGGGGUAGUGGCUUACCAAGGCUUUGACGGGUAGCCCGCCUGGGAGGGCGACCGGCCACAUUGGGACUGGGGUACGGCCCAGGCUCCUACGGGAGGCAGCAGGGGGGAAUAUUGCACAAUGGGCGGAAGCCUGAUGCAGCAACGCCGCGGGCGGGAUGACGGCCUUCGGGCUGUAAACCGCUUUCAGCAGGGGCGAAGCUUGUGGUGACGGUACCUGCAGAAGAAGCACCGGCUAACUACGUG